rnacentral:rRNA from 1 species
AUUGAACGCUGGCGGCAUGCCUUACACAUGCAAGUCGAACGGCAGCGGGCCUUCGGGUGCCGGCGAGUGGCGAACGGGUGAGUAAUAUAUCGGAACGUACCUUUCAGUGGGGGAUAACGUAGCGAAAGUUACGCUAAUACCGCAUAUUCUGUGAGCAGGAAAGCAGGGGAUCGCAAGACCUUGCGCUGAUUGAGCGGCCGAUAUCAGAUUAGCUAGUUGGUGAGGUAAAGGCUCACCAAGGCGACGAUCUGUAGCGGGUCUGAGAGGAUGAUCCGCCACACUGGAACUGAGACACGGUCCAGACUCCUACGGGAGGCAGCAGUGGGGAAUUUUGGACAAUGGGCGCAAGCCUGAUCCAGCCAUGCCGCGUGAGUGAAGAAGGCCUCGGUUGUAAG